rnacentral:lncRNA from 1 species
GUCUCCUUGUCCAGCUGGGCCAGGUGGGCAUCUCUGUAACUAUUAAGAUUCCUAAUUCUGUUUUUCUCUUCUCUAGCUUGGCUUGACCCCCUGGGAUUGACAUUACAUCAGACUUUCUAAUAAAACUCCACUCCUUUUUCCUAGAUAAACAGACUUCUGGCAUUUUCAUGCAUGAUUCAUAACUUUAUGUAAAUGCUCUGGCAAGCUGGAUGAAUGGACAUGAUCCAAUAAAGAUAUUGAGCCUGGUAAGUUCUUAAAGCUGUGCUCGAAUGGGAGGUGGCUGACACCAGGCAGGGGAUGCUCACUAGCAUCUUGAUAGUCUAGGGAUGAAGGCUAAACCACUGGAAGAGAAGAGAAAGAUAAGAGGUGGCUAGUUGGCAGUGAAGAGAUAGUAGAGUUUGGGGAGGUGGAGGUAUCAGGUGGUGGUGAGGGGUUUUGACAGAUGAGAGACUACAGGUGAAACUUUCAUCAGGGUCUGGAGCUUCCUGAAGACAAAGGCUAUUGGGGCCAACUGGGAUUUACUGAGCUUUAGCUAAUCCUGGGCUUGGAGAUACUCGGAUUACCUGUCUGGCCUAUUUGUUUGUGUGUUAUACAGAGAAUAAAACGCAGUAAAAGAGUGUUGAGAGCACAGAACUCCUCUGAAGUGGAAGGAUCCUUCUCACAGGAUGAAACCAUGUCUCACAUACUCCAGUAUUCUCAAAAGCCUAAUAUAGAACUGAGCAUGUACCAGAGCCUCAAUAUAUCUUUAUUUUUGUAAAUUAAAAAUUUAUACCGAUAUAUAAUGCAUAAGUGUGCCUUUUUUUUUUUCUUUUGCCUUUUCUAGAGCUGCUCCGCGGCACAUGGAGGUUCCCAGGCUAGGGGUCUAAUUGGAGCUGUAACCGCCGGCCUAUGCCACAGCCACAGCAACGCAGUAUCCGAGCCACGUCUGCAACCUAC